rnacentral:pre_miRNA from 1 species
UGUAAACAUCUUUAACUGAAAGCUUUACGUACUAAAUAACGGCUUUCAGUUGGAUGUUUAUGUU